rnacentral:tRNA from 1 species
AGAAAGUAAUGCAAGAACUGCUAACUCAUGCACCCGCGCCUACACCGAGGGCUUUCUU